GAUGAACGCUAGCGAUAGGCUUAACACAUGCAAGUCGAGGGGUAACGUGUUGGAAGCUUGCUUCCGAUGACGCCGACCGGCGGAUGGGUGCGUAACGCGUAUGCAACUUGCCUCACAGUGGAGAAUAACCCGGAGAAAUCCGGACUAAUACUCCAUACACUCUUAAGUACGCCUGUACAUGAGAGGAAAGAUUUAUCGCUGUGAGAUAGGCAUGCGUCCUAUUAGGUAGUUGGUGAGGUAACGGCUCACCAAGCCGACGAUAGGUAGGGGUGCUGAGAGGCAGAUCCCCCACAUUGGGACUGAGACACGGCCCAAACUCCUACGGGAGGCAGCAGUGAGGAAUAUUGGUCAAUGGAGGAAACUCUGAACCAGCCAAGUCGCGUGAAGGAAGAAUGUCCUGAGGAUUGUAAACUUCUUUAGCGAGCGAGUAAGGACUUCCACGUGAUGGAGUUUGAAAGUAGCUCGAGAAUAAGUAUCGGCUAACUCCGUG
rnacentral:rRNA from 1 species